AACUCGACUGCAUGAAGCUGGAAUCGCUAGUAAUCGCGGAUCAGAAUGCCGCGGUGAAUACGUUCCCGGGUCUUGUACACACCGCCCGUCACACCAUGGGAGUCAGUAACGCCCGAAGUCAGUGACCGAACCGAGAGGACGGAGCUGCCGAAGGCGGGACGGAUAACUGGGGUGAAGUCGUAACAAGGUACC
rnacentral:rRNA from 1 species